AUGGGCUUCACUGGUGGAGAGAUGGGAAGCUCAACCACGAUGGGCUUCACUGGUGGAGAGAUGGGCAGCUCAACCACGAUGGGCUCCACUGGAUGUGGAGGGAAGAAAUCCUGUGCGCCUUGGCAUCCCUGUGGUGGAGGUGAUUUGAAUAAAUCCUUUGCCCUUUGGCAUCCCUGUGGUGGAGGUGAAUUGAAGAAAUCCUGUGCCCCUUGGUUUCCCUGUGGUGGAGGUGAAUUGAAGAAAUCCUGUACCCUUUGGCAUCCCUGUGGUGGAGGUGAAUUAAAGAAAUUCUGUGCCCCUUGGCAUCCCUGUGGUGGAGGUGAAUUAAAGCAAUCCUGUGCCCUUUGGCAUCCCUGUGGUGGAGGUGAAUUGAAGAAAUCCUGUGCCCUUUGGCAUCCCUGUGGUGGAGGUGAAUUGAAGAAAUCCUGUGCCCCUUGGCCUCCCUGUGGUGGAGGGAAAUAAUCCGAUAGGCAGGGAGGAGGUGGAGUAGUUUUGGUCUGUGGAACUGAAGUUUCCAUGUCUUUUUGUCUUUUUUUAUGUUGCUGUUUCAGACCCUUCAGCAGACCCUUCAGCUCAAACAUGACAGGCUUCAUAAUUGGAGAGAUGGGCAGCUCAGCCACGAUGGGCUUCACUGGUGGAGAGAUGG